GAUGAACGCUGGCGGCGUGCCUAACACAUGCAAGUCGAACGGAGUCCAGCCUUUAAGACCUUCGGGUCAAAGAGGGGAAGACUGAGUGGCGGACGGGUGAGUAACACGUGGGCAACCUGGCUCAUAGAGGAGGAUAACAGAGAGAAAUAUCUGCUAAUACCGCAUAAGCACACACUGCCGCAUUGCAGAGGGUGAAGAGAGAAUCGCGAUGGGAUGGACGCGCGUCUGAUUAGCCAGUUGGCAGGGUAAGAGCCUACCAGAGCGACGAUCAGUAGCCGAUCUGAGAGGAUGGACAGCCACAUUGGGAGUGAGACACGGCCCAAACUCCUACGGGAGGAAGGAGGGGGGGAUAUUGCAGAAUGGGGGGAAGACUGAUGCAGCGCGGCUGCGUGAGUGAAGAAGUAUUGAGGUAUGUAAAGCUCGAUCAGCAGGGAAGAUAAUGACAGUACCUGAAUAAGAAGCCCCGGCUAACUACGUG
rnacentral:rRNA from 1 species